rnacentral:lncRNA from 1 species
UUGGAUCUUGUUAUUCACCAACCCACGAUACCUCAGCUCUAACGACAAACGUCUUGAGACCAUUAUACGAACAUACUACCCUACACUACCAGGACUGCAUCAUAGGUAUGUAGGUCAAACCUUAGCGAACAUACAUUCAUUCUUUAACCAGGAAUGCAUCAUAGGGAUGUAGGUCAAACUUUCGAGAUCAUACUCUUACUCUUUUCAUGAACAAUCUAAGUACAUCAGGGUCAACCAGAAUCGCUUACAAAUCUUUACUCUUUCGUGUUACAGAAUCAUGUCGUCAUCCGGAAACAACCAGCCAAGCAACGAGACCUCUACUUUUCCGAUGGACGCCGCCACCUUUCAAACGGCAGUUACAGCUGCCGUAGUGGCUGCCGUAACCGCGGUCAUGGCGCACCAUAGCGCUAACAGCACGGUCAAUGCUGCUGAUGGAAAUAAAGUUUCCAAUCGCGAUAUCCACCCAGGAAGUCGUCCAACAGUAACAGCCACAGGCUCGCAAAGCCAGAAAACAGAGAACAAGAAAAGAAAACGUCAAGCCAAAGUGGAACGCAAACGGUUUCAGAAAAUGGCCAGG